rnacentral:rRNA from 1 species
UACAGAGGUCCCAAGCGUUGUUCGGAUUCACUGGGCGUAAAGGGUGCGUAGGCGGGUCUUUAAGUCAGGGGUGAAAUCCUGGAGCUCAACUCCAGAACUGCCUUUGAUACUGAAGAUCUUGAGUUCGGGAGAGGUGAGUGGAACUGCGAGUGUAGAGGUGAAAUUCGUAGAUAUUAGGAAGAACACCAGUGGCGAAGGCGGCUCACUGGUCCGGUACUGACGCUGAGGUGCGAAAGCGUGGGGAGCAAACAGG